rnacentral:rRNA from 1 species
GACGAACGCUGGCGGCGUGCUUAACACAUGCAAGUCGAACGGAGAGGCCCUGCGCUUGUGGGGUGCUCGAGUGGCGAACACGUGUGUAACACGCGUGUAACCUGCCCUCGACUUUCUGAUAUCUUCAGGAAACUGGAGCUAUUACCGGAUAGGCGCUCCUGCUGCACGGUGUGGGUUGGAGGGUUGCGCCGGUUGGGGAUGGGCUCGCGGCUUAUCAGCUUGUUGGUGGGGUAGUGGCUUACCAAGGCUCUGACGGGUAGCCGGCCUGAGAGGGUGACCGGCCACAUUGGGACUGAGAUACGGCCCAGACUCCUACGGGAGGCAGCAGUGGGGAAUAUUGCACAAUGGGCGGAAGCCUGAUGCAGCAACGCCGCGUGCGGGAUGACGGCCUUCGGGUUGUAAACCGCUUUCGCCAGGGACGAAGCGUGAGUGACGGUAACGGCUGAAGAAGCACCGGCUAACUACGUG